AAGUGAGUAGUAUAAGAGUAUAUGUAGUUUCGGCCUACAAGGUGAGAUAUUUAUUUCCUCAUUUA
rnacentral:tRNA from 1 species